rnacentral:lncRNA from 1 species
GUUGAUCUCUACCAACUACUACUCACAUUACUGCUCAUUAGCUGUCUUCUCACCCAGAAUGAAAUCAGCUUUGAGAAGAUGUGAAUGUUUAAGAAAUUAAUCAAAAGAUAUCCUUAGAGCCUGGACUCAGUGAAUCAGUCAGAGUAAGACAAAUUAUUGCUCAAAUGCUGCUUUUCAUCCUGUUCACUAAUAAAAACAAAUGCUAUAAAUUGAUUAUUUAUUAUGUACCACAGUGUACUGUGUAUGUUAGGCCUGGCAAAAUGUCAUUUCCACUUUCUUUGGAUUAUUUAAUUGUGCUAAUCAAAUUUCAGGUUCUCUGGUUCUAAGUGGAAGAUUCAUCAUUUUUGUCUCUUUGCAGUCCAAAUAAAGACUAGAGUCCCUCACUUUUGCUUAUUCAACAUAAGAAUUAUACAUAAAGAGCUAACGUUUAUUGACGGGGACUCUUGUCCAAGGUAUUAUUUUAUUGCCUAUCCCAAUUUUGUUUCACUGUAACACAUAUUAACUGUCUGAUAAACGAUCACCCAUUUAAGGGAAACAAAA